rnacentral:rRNA from 1 species
CCUACGGGCGGCAGCAGUGGGGAAUAUUGGACAAUGGGGGGAACCCUGAUCCAGCCAUGCCGCGUGUGUGAAGAAGGCCCUCGGGUUGUAAAGCACUUUCAGUGAGGAAGAACGCCUGGUGGUUAAUACCCAUCAGGAAAGACAUCACUCACAGAAGAAGCACCGGCUAACUCCGUGCCAGCAGCCGCGGUAAUACGGAGGGUGCGAGCGUUAAUCGGAAUUACUGGGCGUAAAGCGCGCGUAGGUGGCUUGAUAAGCCGGUUGUGAAAGCCCCGGGCUCAACCUGGGAACGGCAUCCGGAACUGUCAAGCUAGAGUGCAGGAGAGGAAGGUAGAAUUCCCGGUGUAGCGGUGAAAUGCGUAGAGAUCGGGAGGAGUACCAGUGGCGAAGGCGGCCUUCUGGACUGACACUGACACUGAGGUGCGAAAGCGUGGGUAGCAAACAGGAUUAGAUACCCUAGUAGUC